rnacentral:rRNA from 1 species
CAGCCGCCGCGGUAAUACAGAGGCCCCAAGCGUUGUUCGGAUUCAUUGGGCGUAAAGGGUGCGUAGGCGGUUCCGUAAGUCGGAUGUGAAAUCCUGGGGCUCAACCCCAGAACUGCAUCCGAUACUGCGGGGCUAGAGGACUGGAGAGGAGAGUGGAAUUCACGGUGUAGCAGUGAAAUGCGUAGAUAUCGUGAGGAAGACCAGCGGCGAAGGCGGCUCUCUGGACAGUUCCUGACGCUGAUGCACGAAGGCCAGGGGAGCAAACGGGAUUAGAUACCCGUGUAGUCCCUGUCUCUUAUAC